rnacentral:misc_RNA from 1 species
UCCGAGUUGUCCCCGGCAGUCUCUCUAGAGUCCCCACCAUUACGUGCUGGCAACUAAAGACAGGGGUUGCGCUCGUUGCGGCACUUAAGCCAACACCUCACGACACGAGCUGACGACAGCCAUGCAGCACCUGUGGCAGGUUCCGGACUGGAUACCGUUGGGGAACCGUUUCCGGCCCCUACUUCCUGCCCCUUUCGGACAUGUCAAGCCCAGGAUGAGGUUCUUCGCGUAGCCUCGAAUUAAGCCACAUGCUCCACCGCUUGCGUGAGCCCCCGUCGAUUCCUUUGAGUUUCAGCCUUGCGACCAUACCCCCCAGGCGGGGAACUUAGCACUUUUGCUCCGGCAGUGAGCCCAUAUCAGCCCACUACCUAGUUCCCAACGUUUAGGGCCAGGACUAC